GCUUAUUAUGGUAAAGCGUCUGCCUGCAAUGCAGGAGACUGAGGUUCGAUCCCUGA
rnacentral:tRNA from 1 species